GAUGAACGCUGGCGGCGUGCUUAACACAUGCAAGUCGAACGAUGAAGCCCAGCUUGCUGGGUGGAUUAGUGGCGAACGGGUGAGUAACACGUGAGUAACCUGCCCUUAACUCUGGGAUAAGCCUGGGAAACUGGGUCUAAUACCGGAUAGGAGCGUCCACCGCAUGGUGGGUGUUGGAAAGAUUUAUCGGUUUUGGAUGGACUCGCGGCCUAUCAGCUUGUUGGUGGGGUAGUGGCUCACCAAGGCGACGACGGGUAGCCGGCCUGAGAGGGUGACCGGCCACACUGGGACUGAGACAGGGCGCAGACUGCUACGGGAGGCAGCAGUGGGGAAUAUUGCACAAUGGGCGCAAGCCUGAGGCAGCGACGCCGCGUGAGGGAUGACGGCCUUCGGGUGGUAAACCUCUGUCAGUAGGGAAGAAGCGAAAGUGACGGUACCUGCAGAAGAAGCACCGGCUAACUACGUG
rnacentral:rRNA from 1 species